GAACCGAUCGUGCGAACGUUGUUCGGAAUCACUGGGCUUAAAGGGCGCGUAGGCGGCCCGCCAAGUCCGGGUGAAAUCCUCCCGCCCAACGGGAGAAGUGCCUUGGAUACUGGCGGGCUCGAGCGGGUAGGGGCAUGUGGGAACUUCCGGUGGAGCGGUGAAUGCGUAGAUAGUCGGAAGGAACGCCGGUGGCGAAAGCGACGUGGCUGGACCC
rnacentral:rRNA from 1 species